rnacentral:lncRNA from 7 species
ACAGAUCCUAUCUCAAGGUCUUGUUUGCAAUGCCGAUAUGGAGUGGAAAUGUUUAAAUGCUCUGCUGGGCCCAACAUACAUUGGUUCUCCUGGAGCUGCAAUGUCUUGAGCUGGAGGAGAAAUGAGAGAUCAUCUGAAAUCUGCAUGGAUGAAGGUCGGACUGUGCCCCAAAGCCUGGUGACUCCUCCCCAGCUGUACCCAGCAGCAAAAGGAAGAGGAUCAUCACUGUCCUGAAAAUGGGAGGACUCAGAGCCUGCUCUCCAACUGUCCCUAAAUCUAUUUUAUGUUCUUUAAUUAUGUGCUUCCUUAACUUAGUAGUGUGCUUGGGGAAACCACAAGGAAGAGAACUGGAGGCCAAAGAUGAAAAUAUUUCUCCCGUGAUUUGAUGAACUGUGCCUAGUGGCAAUCUGAGCAUCUCCUGGCCCGAGAACUGAGAGGACCAUGAGGUACCAAAUGCCCUGACUUGUGGGGGCAGUGAGGCUCUUUGGCGCCUUUGGAGGAAGAAGUGGUUUCAAAAUAGAGAGCAAGUGACUACUAAUGAUCCGACUUCAAAUUGCCAAUUCUAUCACUUCGUGUUCUGAGCCCUUGGAAACGUUCCCUUUGUUAUGAAUGGACAGAGGCAGGGUGGCUCAGCAGCAAGGAAGAAAUGUCCUGGUGGCUCAAGUGUCAGUGUAAGAAUGGAGAAGAGCAAGUCUUGUUUGCUGUUCUGCUGCAUGCCUUCUGUGUGUGUGAGAGAGAUGAGGAACAUUGUUUCGGGUGCAAUUAAUUCUGCCUACUUUUGACUGUUUAGAAUUUACUUUCAUUUUUGCCUUUGCACUCAGUAAAGUUUCCUCUUUAG